CAUGCAAGUCGAACGGUGAACACGGAGCUUGCUCUGUGGGAUCAGUGGCGAACGGGUGAGUAACACGUGAGCAACCUGCCCCUGACUCUGGGAUAAGCGCUGGAAACGGCGUCUAAUACUGGAUAUGUGACGUGAUCGCAUGGUCUGCGUCUGGAAAGAAUUUCGGUUGGGGAUGGGCUCGCGGCCUAUCAGCUUGUUGGUGAGGUAAUGGCUCACCAAGGCGUCGACGGGUAGCCGGCCUGAGAGGGUGACCGGCCACACUGGGACUGAGACACGGCCCAGACUCCUACGGGAGGCAGCAGUGGGGAAUAUUGCACAAUGGGCGCAAGCCUGAUGCAGCAACGCCGCGUGAGGGAUGACGGCCUUCGGGUUGUAAACCUCUUUUAGCAGGGAAGAAGCGAAAGUGACGGUACCUGCAGAAAAAGCGCCGGCUAACUACGUGCCAGCAGCCGCGGUAAUACGUAGGGCGCAAGCGUUAUCCGGAAUUAUUGGGCGUAAAGAGCUCGUAGGCGGUUUGUCGCGUCUGCUGUGAAAUCCGGAGGCUCAACCUCCGGCCUGCAGUGGGUACGGGCAGACUAGAGUGCGGUAGGGGAGAUUGGAAUUCCUGGUGUAGCGGUGGAAUGCGCAGAUAUCAGGAGGAACACCGAUGGCGAAGGCAGAUCUCUGGGCCGUAACUGACGCUGAGGAGCGAAAGGGUGGGGAGCAAACAGGCUUAGAUACCCUGGUAGUCCACCCCGUAAACGUUGGGAACUAGUUGUGGGGUCCAUUCCACGGAUUCCGUGACGCAGCUAACGCAUUAAGUUCCCCGCCUGGGGAGUACGGCCGCAAGGCUAAAACUCAAAGGAAUUGACGGGGACCCGCACAAGCGGCGGAGCAUGCGGAUUAAUUCGAUGCAACGCGAAGAACCUUACCAAGGCUUGACAUAUACGAGAACGGGCCAGAAAUGGUCAACUCUUUGGACACUCGUAAACAGGUGGUGCAUGGUUGUCGUCAGCUCGUGUCGUGAGAUGUUGGGUUAAGUCCCGCAACGAGCGCAACCCUCGUUCUAUGUUGCCAGCACGUAAUGGUGGGAACUCAUGGGAUACUGCCGGGGUCAACUCGGAGGAAGGUGGGGAUGACGUCAAAUCAUCAUGCCCCUUAUGUCUUGGGCUUCACGCAUGCUACAAUGGCCGGUACAAAGGGCUGCAAUACCGCGAGGUGGAGCGAAUCCCAAAAAGCCGGUCCCAGUUCGGAUUGAGGUCUGCAACUCGACCUCAUGAAGUCGGAGUCGCUAGUAAUCGCAGAUCAGCAACGCUGCGGUGAAUACGUUCCCGGGCCUUG
rnacentral:rRNA from 1 species